rnacentral:rRNA from 1 species
UACGGAGGGUGCGAGCGUUGUUCGGAAUUACUGGGCGUAAAGAGUGUGUAGGCGGUGCUCUAAGUUCGGUGUGAAAUCUCCUGGCUUAACUGGGAGGGUGCGCCGGAAACUGGGGUGCUCGAGCGUGGGAGAGGAAAGCGGAAUUCCUGGUGUAGCGGUGAAAUGCGUAGAUAUCAGGAGGAACACCUGUGGUGUAGACAGCUUUCUGGACCAUUGCUGACGCUGAGACACGAAAGCGUGGGUAGCGAACAGG